GUGCUCACUUUGGCAGCACAUACACUAAAAUUAGAAGGAUGCAGAGAAGAUUAGCCUGCCCCCUGCACAAGGAUGACAUGCAAAUUCAUGAAGUGUUCCAUAUUUUU